rnacentral:rRNA from 1 species
GGAAGUUCGACGGGGGCCCGCACAAGCGGUGGAGCAUGUGGUCUAAUUCGAUGAUACGCGAGGAACCUUACCUGGGCUCAAAUGUAUGUUGACGUAUUCUGAAAGGGAUACUUCUUCGGACAAUAUACAAGGUGCUGCAUGGUUGUCGUCAGCUCGUGCCGUGAGGUGUCGGGUUAAGUCCCAUAACGAGCGCAACCCCUAUCAUUAGUUGCCAUCAGGUCAAGCUGGGGACUCUAAUGAAACUGCCUACGCAAGUAGUGAGGAAGGUGGGGAUGACGUCAAGUCCUCAUGGCCUUUAUGACCAGGGCUACACACGUACUACAAUGGCCGAUACAAAGGGCAGCGACACUGCGAGGUGAAGCCAAUCCCGUAAAAUCGGUCUCAGUCCGGAUUGGAGUCUGCAACUCGACUCCAUGAAGUUGGAAUCGCUAGUAAUCGUGGAUCAGCAUGCCACGGUGAAUACGUUCCCGGGCCUU